AGCGUUGAAUGUCACAUUUGAAACCAUCCUUAUUGACUCUGUUUGGUAUUUAAAUCUGUUACAGUGAACAACUGUGCGCUGUGUGGCACGCAUCAGAUGGCGCUGAUUGGAGCCUCUCAUGAAUUGGCACUCUAGUUCUGGCACCAGAACAGAACGCAGCCGCAUAUGGAACAUUCCAUUUGUCAGAAUUAUUUGCAGCGCUUGGAAAUAAGUGCUGUGUGCAUGUUUCAAAGAUGCCUGAUGGAAGAAGUCAUUAGCUGUGCCAUCUGUAAUAAUGUGGGAAAAUUGCAGAGGCCCUUCUUAGAUCACGCACGCCAUGAAAAUGCAACACUUCAAGCAGGGUUGGAUGACAGCUGACCCUGAACAACAAAUGCAAGGACGGGAGUGACACGGGUGGCUACAUGCUAACAAAACCGAGACGCAAGAGUUACAGGCAACCUGAUGUGUAUAAAACGGAUCCCCACCAGCUGAUCAGGGUGUUCAUCAGCGGUCAAGAUGUGUCUGUGUCACCCAGAGAUUAGUCCCUGAGGUUGUCAGUUCACCUGGUUUCCAGUCAAAACCAUCUGAGACUCACUUUCUCACUCACCAUAACCCUGACACGACUCUAGCUAAAUGCUUAGUAAUGUUCUUAAGGUUAAAAUGAUGGUCUGUUUUCAGCCCUCAAUUUAAUUAGCCAUUAGAUCUGUGGUUGCAUGUAAUCAUUUAGAGAAGACUUUUAGUGUAUGGUUUUCAAAGUGGCAUGUCACACAAAGAAAGCACACACACACACACACACACACACACACACACUUGCCGAGUGAUUUCCCAGGGGUUGAUUCAGAGGUCACAGAAAGGCCAUCCAUAUCUGACCUGAUUAUAAAUUCCUUCUACCUGUUGACUGCUUUUAUUUAAACACAACGUGGUACUAAAAUUGAUCAGUUUACUGUUUUAUUAAAUUUCCCUGCCCUUUUUUGUACCAUGUUGUCCUAAAGAAACAGUUUGUUUUCUUUUCUUUACUUUACUUUUUUUUCUUUUUCUUUUUUUUUCUGUUGUUGUAACCAAAGCAGUAUAAAUGGGGACAUAUAGUAUUAACUAUUAUUUAAUAUUCAUCUGAAAAUAUGAGUGGUGUUUGCUCAAAUUUACGGUGUUGCUACGCAUUUGGUGUUGUGUUCUUAGAUGCAUUGCUAUGUGGUUGCUUGGUGUUUUUCCUCAGAAAUUUGUCAUAUUAUUAUAAGAAAUUGUCACACUAUAUGAAAUUGUAGAAUAGAUUCAUUAUCUUUCUAUACUUGAUUUUUUGUUUUGUUUUUUGUUUGUUUUUUGUAUUUCAUAUAUAAUAUUUCAAGACUUUGAAGCGCAAGUCACUAUCUGACAUCUAAUCAUUUGCGUAUAUAAUAUUCCAGUAUCUUUGGCUUGUAGCAAAACAUGAUCUUGGCUGUCUAAAUGAAUUUUCCAACGAACCAAAUUCCCUCCUGGCCACCCUGAAAGGAAGUCGCCCAAUUAGAAGUUGCCGCUAAAUAAAAAUGGAGGCUCUUUCUCCUUGUAAGAGCCC
ensembl:lncRNA